rnacentral:rRNA from 1 species
AGAGACAGCAGUCGCCGCGGUAAUACAGAGGGUGCGAGCGUUAAUUGGAUUUACUGGGCGUAAAGCGUGCGUAGGCGGCUUUUUAAGUCGGAUGUGAAAUCCCUGAGCUUAACUUAGGAAUUGCAUUCGAUACUGGGAAGCUAGAGUAUGGGAGAGGAUGGUAGAAUUCCAGGUGUAGCGGUGAAAUGCGUAGAGAUCUGGAGGAAUACCGAUGGCGAAGGCAGCCAUCUGGCCUAAUACUGACGCUGAGGUACGAAAGCAUGGGGAGCAAACAGGAUUAGAUACCCCUGUAGUCUCUGUCUCUUAUAA